UACGUAGGGUGCAAGCGUUGUCCGGAAUUAUUGGGCGUAAAGAGCUCGUAGGCGGUGUGUCACGUCUGCCGUGAAAACCUGCGGCUUAACCGUGGGCGUGCGGUGGAUACGGGCAUCACUUGAGUUCGGUAGGGGAGACUGGAAUUCCUGGUGUAGCGGUGGAAUGCGCAGAUAUCAGGAGGAACACCGGUGGCGAAGGCGGGUCUCUGGGCCGAUACUGACGCUGAGGAGCGAAAGCGUGGGGAGCGAACAGGAUUAGAUACCCUGGUAGUCCACGCCGUAAACGUUGGGCGCUAGGUGUGGGGCGCUGUUCACGUGUCCCGUGCCGUAGCUAACGCAUUAAGCGCCCCGCCUGGGGAGUACGGCCGCAAGGCUAAAACUCAAAGGA
rnacentral:rRNA from 1 species